rnacentral:tRNA from 1 species
GGGGGUGUAGCUCAGUAGUGGAGUGUGUGCUUAGCGUGGGCAAGGUCCUGGGUUCAAUCCCCAAUACCUCUG